rnacentral:rRNA from 1 species
GACGAACGCUGGCGGCGUGCUUAACACAUGCAAGUCGAACGGAAAGGCCCUGCUUUUGUGGGGUGCUCGAGUGGCGAACGGGUGAGUAACACGUGAGUAACCUGCCCUUGACUUUGGGAUAACUUCAGGAAACUAGGGCUAAUACCGGAUAGGAGCUCCUGCUGCAUGGUGGGGGUUGGAAAGUUUCGGCGGUUGGGGAUGGACUCGCGGCUUAUCAGCUUGUUGGUGGGGUAGUGGCUUACCAAGGCUUUGACGGGUAGCCGGCCUGAGAGGGUGACCGGCCACAUUGGGACUGAGAUACGGCCCAGACUCCUACGGGAGGCAGCAGUGGGGAAUAUUGCACAAUGGGCGGAAGCCUGAUGCAACAACGCCGCGUGCGGGAUGACGGCCUUCGGGUUGUAAACCGCUUUCGCCUGUGACGAAGCGUGAGUGACGGUAAUGGGUAAAGAAGCACCGGCUAACUACGUGCCAGCAGCCGCGGUGAUACGUAGGGUGCGAGCGUUGUCCGGAUUUAUUGGGCGUAAAGGGCUCGUAGGUGGUUGAUCGCGUCGGAAGUGUAAUCUUGGGGCUUAACCCUGAGCGUGCUUUCGAUACGGGUUGACUUGAGGAAGGUAGGGGAGAAUGGAAUUCCUGGUGGAGCGGUGGAAUGCGCAGAUAUCAGGAGGAACACCAGUGGCGAAGGCGGUUCUCUGGGCCUUUCCUGACGCUGAGGAGCGAAAGCGUGGGGAGCGAACAGGCUUAGAUACCCUGGUAGUCCACGCUGUAAACGGUGGGUACUAGGUGUGGGGUCCAUUCCACGGGUUCCGUGCCGUAGCUAACGCUUUAAGUACCCCGCCUGGGGAGUACGGCCGCAAGGCUAAAACUCAAAGGAAUUGACGGGGCCCCGCACAAGCGGCGGAGCAUGCGGAUUAAUUCGAUGCAACGCGUAGAACCUUACCUGGGUUUGACAUGGAUCGGGAGCGCUCAGAGAUGGGUGUGCCUCUUUUGGGGUCGGUUCACAGGUGGUGCAUGGCUGUCGUCAGCUCGUGUCGUGAGAUGUUGGGUUAAGUCCCGCAACGAGCGCAACCCUUGUUCACUGUUGCCAGCACGUUAUGGUGGGGACUCAGUGGAGACCGCCGGGGUCAACUCGGAGGAAGGUGGGGAUGACGUCAAGUCAUCAUGCCCCUUAUGUCCAGGGCUUCACGCAUGCUACAAUGGCUGGUACAGAGAGUGGCGAGCCUGUGAGGGUGAGCGAAUCUCGGAAAGCCGGUCUCAGUUCGGAUUGGGGUCUGCAACUCGACCUCAUGAAGUCGGAGUCGCUAGUAAUCGCAGAUCAGCAACGCUGCGGUGAAUACGUUCCCGGGGCU